UACGGAGGGUGCAAGCGUUAUCCGGAUUCACUGGGUUUAAAGGGUGCGUAGGCGGGUAAGUAAGUCAGUGGUGAAAUCUUCAAGCUUAACUUGGAAACUGCCAUUGAUACUAUUUAUCUUGAAUGUUCUGGAGGUCAGCGGAAUAUGUCAUGUAGCGGUGAAAUGCUUAGAUAUGACAUAGAACACCAAUUGCGAAGGCAGCUUACUAAGCAAAUAUUGACGCUGAGGCACGAAAGCGUGGGGAUCAAACAGG
rnacentral:rRNA from 1 species